AGAGUUUGAUCAUGGCUCAGAUUGAACGCUGGCGGCAUGCCUUACACAUGCAAGUCGAACGGUAACAGGUCUUCGGACGCUGACGAGUGGCGAACGGGUGAGUAAUACAUCGGAACGUGCCCAGUCGUGGGGGAUAACUACUCGAAAGAGUAGCUAAUACCGCAUACGAUCUGAGGAUGAAAGCGGGGGACCUUCGGGCCUCGCGCGAUUGGAGCGGCCGAUGGCAGAUUAGGUAGUUGGUGGGAUAAAAGCUUACCAAGCCGACGAUCCGUAGCUGGUCUGAGAGGACGACCAGCCACACUGGGACUGAGACACGGCCCAGACUCCUACGGGAGGCAGCAGUGGGGAAUUUUGGACAAUGGGCGAAAGCCUGAUCCAGCAAUGCCGCGUGCAGGAUGAAGGCCUUCGGGUUGUAAACUGCUUUUGUACGGAACGAAAAAGCUUCUCCUAAUACGAGAGGCCCAUGACGGUACCGUAAGAAUAAGCACCGGCUAACUACGUGCCAGCAGCCGCGGUAAUACGUAGGGUGCGAGCGUUAAUCGGAAUUACUGGGCGUAAAAGCGUGCGCAGGCGGUUAUGUAAGACAGAUGUGAAAUCCCCCGGGCUCAACCUGGGAACUGCAUUUGUGACUGCAUGGGCUAGAGUGCGGAGAGGGGGGGGGAUGGAAAUUUCCGGGGGUGUAGCAGUGAAAUGCGUAGAAUAUGGGGGAGGAAACACCGAAUGGCGAAAGGCAAUCCCCUGGACCUGUACUGACGCUCAUGCACGAAAGCGUGGGGAACAAACAGGAUUAGAUAACCCUGGUAGUCCACGCCUA
rnacentral:rRNA from 1 species